rnacentral:rRNA from 1 species
GGAAGGUGGGGAUGACGUCAAAUCAUCAUGCCCCUUAUGUCUUGGGCUUCACGCAUGCUACAAUGGCCGGUACAGAGGGCUGCGAUACCGCGAGGUGGAGCGAAUCCCUUAAAGUGCGUCUCGGUUCGGAUUGGAGGCUGAAACUCGCCUCCAUGAAGGUGGAGUUGCUAGUAAUCGCGGAUCAGCAUUGCCGCGGUGAAUACGUUCCCGGGUCUUGUACACACCGCCCGUCACACCAUGGGAGCUGGUCAUACCCAAUACCGUUAGUCUAACCAUUCGGAGGACAGCGCUUAAGGUAGGGCUAGUGACUGGGGUGAAGUCGUAACAAGGUAGCCCUAGGGGAACCUGGGGCUGGAUCACCUCCUU